rnacentral:rRNA from 1 species
UGUCGUCAGCUCGUGUUGUGAAAUGUUGGGUUAAGUCCCGCAACGAGCGCAACCCUUAUCCUUUGUUGCCAGCGGUCCGGCCGGGAACUCAAAGGAGACCGCCAGUGAUAAACUGGAGGAAGGUGGGGAUGACGUCAAGUCAUCGUGGCCCUUACGACCAGGGCUACACACGUGCUACAAUGGCGCAUACAAAGAGAAGCGACCUCGCGAGAGCAAGCGGACCUCAUAAAGUGCGUCGUAGUCCGGAUUGGAGUCUGCAACUCGACUCCAUGAAGUCGGAAUCGCUAGUAAUCGUGGAUCAGAAUGCCACGGUGAAUACGUUCCCGGGCCUUGUACACACCGCCCGUCACACCAUGGGAGUGGGUUGCAAAAGAAGUAGGUAGCUUAACCUUCGGGAGGGCGCUUACCACUUUGUGAUUCAUGACUGGGGUGAAGUCGUAACAAGGUAACCGUAGGGGAACCUGCGGCUGGAUCACCUC